UGAAUGAAAUCUCUGGAACGCAUC
rnacentral:piRNA from 1 species